UGAAUACGAGACGCUAAGGCGUCGAAGUAGUGUAUGUCAUACUUCCAAGAAAAGCUUGCACUGUCAUAAGUAAAAAAUGCCUGUACCAUAACCGACACAGGUGGGUAGGUAGAGUAUACUAAGGGGCGCGAGAUAACUCUCUCUAAGGAACUCGGCAAAAUAACUCCGUAACUUCGGGAGAAGGAGUACCUUAUUCUAUAAGGUUGCAAUAACAAGAUCCAAGCAACUGUUUAUCAAAAACACAGGUCUCCGCUAAGUCGUAAGACGAUGUAUGGGGGCUGACGCCUGCCCAGUGCCAGAAGGUUAAAGAAGUCGGUUAGCAUUAGCGAAGCUGGUAACUGAAGCCCUGGUGAACGGCGGCCGUAACAAUAACGGUCCUAAGGUAGCGAAAUUCCUUGUCGGGUAAGUUCCGACCCGCACGAAAGGCGUAAUGAUUUGGAUACUGUCUCGGAGAGGGGCUCGGUGAAAUAGACUUGUCUGUGAAGAUGCGGACUACCUGCACCAGGACAGAAAGACCCUAUGAAGCUUUACUGUAACUUGAAAUUGAAAUUGGACUUUAUUCGCGCAGUAUAGGUGGGAGGUGUUGAUUAUAAUCUUGCGGGAUUAUUGGAGCCAUCAGUGAGAUACCACUCUUGUAAUGUUAGAUUUCUAACUUUGAAUCAUUAUCUGGUCAAAGGACAGUUUCAGGCGGGCAGUUUGACUGGGGCGGUCGCCUCCCAAACGGUAACGGAGGCGUACAAAGGUUUCCUCUGAACGGGUAGAAAUCGUAUCUAGAGUGUAAAGGCAUAAGGAAGCUUGACUGUGAGACCUACAAGUCGAACAGGGACGAAAGUCGGUCUUAGUGAUCUGACGGUACUGAGUGGAAAGGCCGUCACUCAACGGAUAAAAGUUACUCUAGGAUAACAGGCUGAUCUCCCCCAAGAGUUCACAUCGACGGGGAGGUUUGGCACCUCGAUGUCGGCUCAUCGCAUCCUGGGGCGGUAGUACGUCCCAAGGGUUGGGCUGUUCGCCCAUGAAAGCGGUACGCGAGCUGGGUUCAGAACGUCGUGAGACAGUUCGGUCCAUAUCCGGUGUAGGCGUUAGAAUAUUGAGAGGAGCCUUCUUUAGUACGAGAGGACCGAGAAGGACAUACCUCUGGUGUACCAGUUAUCGUGCCAACGGUAAACGCUGGGUAGCUAUGUAUGGAGUGGAUAACCGCUGAAAGCAUCUAAGUGGGAGGCCCACCUCAAGAUAAGUACUCUCAUC
rnacentral:rRNA from 1 species